CUCUUGUGCCAAUUUGAACCAUGAAAGAAAGAAGGCAGAGAAACAUGCAUAUCUUCAUUGCAAAAUCAGCACCAAAAUAUGAAUUAUCAUGUGAGUUUCAAAGGAUUUUUAAUCCCUCUUGGACACCAGGGCUCUCACCUGUCUGCAAAAUGCAUCAUCUCAAACAAUUCAACUUCUUGACCCAACAACAUGAUGGAAGGAAGAGGAUCAUUUUCCAUUUUGUGGCCAAAAUCCUCUACACAUUUCUAAAAGUUCAUCCAUAAGAUCCAAAAUGAGGAACUGCAAUUGUAUGUCCACAUACAGGGAAAAAAAUUAAACUAAAGGAGAUUUUGGCUUUAGUGGGCUCUAUUUCACAUAAUACAACAUAAUCUUUUUGGAGUCAGCACUCAGCUUCAGGGAUCUGGUUCAGCUGGAAAAGUGUUUUUGUGAUUUUGUGGCUGCAGUUAACAACAAAUCCAAAAAAGAAUCAUCUUGUGAGAAAUACUUGGCUAGAAAGUGUGAUAAAUAUCAUAUACUCCCUGCAUGGCUGUGGCAGUCAUGGGAUUCUGACAGAGCAGGGCAUGAAUUUAGAGAUAACAAAUGGAAAGGUGUCUGAAUAUUCCAGCAGCCUUCCUCCUGGUCUGCUGGUGAAGAUGGCCCAGAAAGAAAACUGUUCAGCCUUUGAAAUUCUCUGCAAACACAUUCCUUUAGUGCACAUAAAGAUUUAAAUCUUACAUUUGGAACCUGCACCAUGAAAGUCAGAGACGACAAAAAAUCCUAACCUUUCCAAAGUGAUUUAGGGAUUUACACAUCUUCUUCUGGUGCAAACUGGAGUCAUUCCACUGACUGACUGGUUUGAUGAGGAAUCCUGUAAAAGAACAAGCUAAAGACAAACAUGAAGCAAAACAAAACUAGAAAUUCUUGGCACUUGGGGAUUUGUGUUGGCCAAAUGACGAGACUGAAUCCCAGAAUCUCUGUUUGGAAAGGAUAUGAAGUCAUUGUUCAAAUGUGCACAUAAACUGGAUCUAGAGGGAUAAGAUUAAAAAAAUUUACAGAGUUCAGUCUCAUAAAACUAUCAAUUAUAC
rnacentral:lncRNA from 1 species